rnacentral:rRNA from 1 species
GAUGAACGCUAGCGACAGGCCUAACACAUGCAAGUCGAGGGGCAGCGCGGGAGAAGCUUGCUUUCCUGGCGGCGACCGGCGCACGGGUGCGUAACAGGUGUGCAAUCUGUCCUAUACCAGAGCAUAGCCCAGCGAAAGUUGGAUUAAUUCUCUAUGUGAGCCGAGAGGGCAUCCUUUUGGUUUGAAACGCGAGGGUAUAGGGUGAGCACGCUUCUGAUUAGCUAGUUGGUGAGGUAACGGCUCACCAAGGCGACGAUCAGUAGGGGUUCUGAGAGGAAGGUCCCCCACAUUGGAACUGAGACACGGUCCAAACUCCUACGGGAGGCAGCAGUGAGGAAUAUUGGUCAAUGGACGCAAGUCUGAACCAGCCAAUGCCGCGUGCAGGAUGACGGCUCUAUGAGUUGUAAACUGCUUUUGACAAGGGUAAACCCUGGGACGUGUCCCAGGCUGAAAGUACUGUACGAAUAAGGAUCGGCUAACUCCGUG